rnacentral:rRNA from 1 species
CCUACGGGUGGCUGCAGUGGGGAAUAUUGGACAAUGGGGGGAACCCUGAUCCAGCCAUGCCGCGUGUGUGAAGAAGGCCCUCGGGUUGUAAAGCACUUUCAGUGAGGAAGAACGCCUGGUGGUUAAUACCCAUCAGGAAAGACAUCACUCACAGAAGAAGCACCGGCUAACUCCGUGCCAGCAGCCGCGGUAAUACGGAGGGUGCGAGCGUUAAUCGGAAUCACUGGGCGUAAAGCGCGCGUAGGUGGCUUGAUAAGCCGGUUGUGAAAGCCCCGGGCUCAACCUGGGAACGGCAUCCGGAACUGUCAAGCUAGAGUGCAGGAGAGGAAGGUAGAAUUCCCGGUGUAGCGGUGAAAUGCGUAGAGAUCGGGAGGAAUACCAGUGGCGAAGGCGGCCUUCUGGACUGACACUGACACUGAGGUGCGAAAGCGUGGGUAGCAAACAGGAUUAGAUACCCGUGUAGUC